AGCGGGCUUCGGCCCGUCAGUAGAGCGGCGAACGGGUGAGUAACACGUGGAUAACCUGCCUAGGAGCGGGGGACAACUCGGGGAAACCUGAGCUAAUACCGCAUACGCUCUCACGAUCUUGGUGGUGAGAGGAAAGGUGGCUCUUCGGAGCUGUCACUCCUAGAGGGGUCCGCGGCUGAUUAGCUAGUUGGUGGGGUAAUGGCCUACCAAGGCGACGAUCAGUAGCCGGCCUGAGAGGGUGAUCGGCCACACUGGAACUGAGACACGGUCCAGACUUCUACGGAAGGCAGCAGUGGGGAAUAUUGGACAAUGGGCGAAAGCCUGAUCCAGCAACGCCGCGUGGAGGAUGAAGGCCUUCGGGUUGUAAACUCCUGUCAGUUGGGACGAAAAGGCUUCGGCGAACAACCGGAGUCUCUGACGGUACCAGCAGAGGAAGCCCCGGCUAACUCCGUGCCAGCAGCCGCGGUAAUACGGAGGGGGCGAGCGUUAUUCGGAAUCAUUGGGCGUAAAGGGCGCGUAGGCGGCUUGAUAAGUCAGGGGUGAAAUCCCUCGGCUCAACCGAGGAACUGCCUUUGAAACUGUCAGGCUUGAGGCCGGGAGAGGGUGGUGGAAUUCCCAGUGUAGCGGUGAAAUGCGUAGAUAUUGGGGGGAACACCAGUGGCGAAGGCGGCCACCUGGACCGGUUCUGACGCUGAGGCGCGAAAGCGUGGGUAGCAAACAGGAUUAGAUACCCUGGUAGUCCACGCUGUAAACGAUGAGCACUCGGUGCUGCGGGUGUCGACCCCUGCAGUGCCUUAGGAA
rnacentral:rRNA from 1 species